AGUUAAAAAGCUCGUAGUUGGAUGUUGUGGUUUGUUAAAUUCGAUGCCUUUUGGUAUUCGUUUUAGCAGCCACUUUUUCUCGAGGCAUAUAGGUGCACUUAACCGUGUGUUUAUAUUGUUCGGGACUUUUACCGUGAGAAAAUUAGAGUGUUCAUAGCAGGCUAGUGCUUGAAUAUUACAGCAUGGAAUAAUGGAAUAGGAUCAUGAUCUUAUUUUGUUGGUUUCUAAGAUCAAGAUAAUGAUUAAUAGGGAUAGUUGGGGGCAUUAAUAUUUAGUUGUCAGAGGUGAAAUUCUUAGAUUUACAAAAGAUUAACUUCUGCGAAAGCAUUUGCCAAGGAUGUUUUCGUUAAUCAAGAACGAAAGUUGAGGGAUCGAAGAUGAUCAGAUACCGUCGUAGUCUCAACCAUAAACUAUGCCGACUAGGGAUUGGUGGUCGUUAAUUAAUGUCACCAUCAGCACCUUAUGAGAAAUCAAAGUUUUUGGGUUCUGGGGGGAGUAUGGUCGCAAGGCUGAAACUUAAAGGAAUUGACGGAAGGGCACCACCAGGAGUGGAGCCUGCGGCUUAAUUUGACUCAACACGGGGAAACUCACCAGGUCCGGACAUAGUAAGGAUUGACAGAUUGAGAGCUCUUUCUUGAUUCUAUGGGUGGUGGUGCAUGGCCGUCCU
rnacentral:rRNA from 1 species